GGUAAGGGACACCCUCGAAUAUCGUUAAGGGUUUUCGGCAUGCCUCUGCAUAGAAACACCCUUAUGUUCUUACUGCUGUUGAACCUCACUAAAAGCCCUGCUGCCACGCCGAAUACCAACAAGGUUCGCCCUUUGAUAUGGUAUGAUGGCCGACAGAAAAUUGGCGAAGGCGUUACACUAAGAGCGCAUGUCCUGUACGACUGAAAUCACUUCGCAGAACGAGUACCUCAACAGGACAUAAAUAAAUAUUUCGACGAACUGUUUCAGAAGGUUAGAGAAACCUUCAACAAUAAAACUGUCAUGAUAUCUACUAAGGUUGAAAAAGCUUCUUUGGUAAG